AUACUUACCUGGCAGGGGAGAUGCCACGAUCACACAGGUGGUUUUCCCAGGGCAAGGCUCAUCCAUUGCACUUGGGAUGUGCUGAUCCCUGCGAUUUCCCCAAAUGUGGGAAACUGCAUAAUUUGUGAUAGUGGGGGACUGCGUUCGUGCUUUCCCCUG